GAUGAACGCUGGCGGCGUGCCUAAUACAUGCAAGUCGAGCGAACGGACGAGAAGCUUGCUUCUCUGAUGUUAGCGGCGGACGGGUGAGUAACACGUGGAUAACCUACCUAUAAGACUGGGAUAACUUCGGGAAACCGGAGCUAAUACCGGAUGAUAUUUUGAACCGCAUGGUUCAAAAGUGAAAGACGGUCUUGCUGUCACUUAUAGAUGGAUCCGCGCUGCAUUAGCUAGUUGGUAAGGUAACGGCUUACCAAGGCGACGAUGCGUAGCCGACCUGAGAGGGUGAUCGGCCACACUGGAACUGAGACACGGUCCAGACUCCUACGGGAGGCAGCAGUAGGGAAUCUUCCGCAAUGGGCGAAAGCCUGACGGAGCAACGCCGCGUGAGUGAUGAAGGUCUUCGGAUCGUAAAACUCUGUUAUUAGGGAAGAACAAAUGUGUAAGUAACUGUGCACGUCUUGACGGUACCUAAUCAGAAAGCCACGGCUAACUACGUG
rnacentral:rRNA from 1 species